GAGGGUAUAGCUCAGUAGUAGAGUGCAUGCUUAGCAUGCAGAAGGUCCUGGGUUCAGUCCCCAGUACCUCCA
rnacentral:tRNA from 1 species